AGAAAACAAAUCAAAGUUUCCAUUUUUUUCGAAGAGCUUUUAAAAAUAAAAUUACUCUCAAGUGAAAGCUAAUCCAAUCUCUAACAUCAUCUUUUCAAUUCUUCUCUUCUUCUUCAAAACCAAAAGCAAACUCUAUGCAAUUUCUCUUCUUGAUCAUCUCUGCAAAAUAAAGAGAGAAAAAGCCGAUACAUAAACCGAAGAAGCAUUUUGUGUUCUCAUGUCCAACAAUUUCGCAUCCUCUUCUUCUUCUUUUUCUAUUAAUACAAAUGGCGUUGUUUUUUCACAACAUACUGGCAAUAUGGGCUGAAGGACGUUUAGCCGUCCAUAUAUGAUUUUCGACAAUGUCACAAAGCUGCAGGAGGACGCGGAUGUUCAGUCUAGUAAAAAAUCACAAACUGAGCAAAACCAAAUUAAAUUCGGACAAAAGCUGGAUUGAGGAAGUUCAACUGUAGGCAAGUUGAUGAAGUUUGCUAUCAUAUGAUGGUGACGUAAUCUUAUUGUACUCCGAUCCGACUUUAAGAACAAAAAUAUAUAUAUAUUUUUAAAAUCAGAA